CUCAAACAAAGGAGUUAAGUGCUGGGCCUCCAGACAAAUAUAAGAAUCAGUGCACAAGAGUGUGUUUCUUUCCAGGUGCCGCGUACUGCUGAGAAAAAGAUGUUGUUUUAUGGCAGCAAGACAUGGAACUUCACCACCUUUGAAGAAUUAAAAAUUGGUAUCCCACAGAGGGCAAUGGAGAGGCACAUGAUUUUGGCAUGGGGUGCUAUAAGCUAUGAAUCAACAGCAUCAUCAGACUCAAUCAGCCAACAUUUCAAGAUUCCUGCCAGGCCUUCACAGCUGUUGGAGUGGCCUCAGGCAUG